CUUCGGAGGUACUCGAGUGGCGAACGGGUGAGUAACACGUGGGUAAUCUGCCCUGCACUUCGGGAUAAGCCUGGGAAACUGGGUCUAAUACCGAAUAGGACCAUUUAGCGCAUGCUUUAUGGUGGAAAGCUUUUGCGGUGUGGGAUGGGCCCGCGGCCUAUCAGCUUGUUGGUGGGGUGACGGCCUACCAAGGCGACGACGGGUAGCCGGCCUGAGAGGGUGUCCGGCCACACUGGGACUGAGAUACGGCCCAGACUCCUACGGGAGGCAGCAGUGGGGAAUAUUGCACAAUGGGCGCAAGCCUGAUGCAGCGACGCCGCGUGGGGGAUGACGGCCUUCGGGUUGUAAACCUCUUUCAGCAGGGACGAAGCGAAAGUGACGGUACCUGCAGAAGAAGCACCGGCCAACUACGUGCCAGCAGCCGCGGUAAUACGUAGGGUGCGAGCGUUGUCCGGAAUUACUGGGCGUAAAGAGCUCGUAGGUGGUUUGUCGCGUUGUUCGUGAAAACCGGGGGCUUAACCCUCGGCGUGCGGGCGAUACGGGCAGACUGGAGUACUGCAGGGGAGACUGGAAUUCCUGGUGUAGCGGUGGAAUGCGCAGAUAUCAGGAGGAACACCGGUGGCGAAGGCGGGUCUCUGGGCAGUAACUGACGCUGAGGAGCGAAAGCGUGGGGAGCGAACAGGAUUAGAUACCCUGGUAGUCCACGCCGUAAACGGUGGGUACUAGGUGUGGGUUUCCUUCCUUGGAAUCCGUGCCGUAGCUAACGCAUUAAGUACCCCGCCUGGGGAGUACGGCCGCAAGGCUAAAACUCAAAGGAAUUGACGGGGGCCCGCACAAGCGGCGGAGCAUGUGGAUUAAUUCGAUGCAA
rnacentral:rRNA from 2 species